rnacentral:snRNA from 1 species
GUGCUUGUUUCAGCAGCACAUACAACAAAAUUAGACUAAUACAAAGAUUCACAUGUCAUCUGCACAAGAAUGAUAUGCAAAUUCAUGAAUUGUUCCAUAUUUUU